UUUGUUUAUUUGUUUUAACCUGUUAGUGUGUUGUUGCGCUGUUGACUUCACGUCAUUUUUACCUCCGCUUAGUCGUUAGUCGCUGCCUCUGACCCCUUGGGCCUGUGCAGGGUUGACGGCAUCACUUGUCAGGUUUCAUUCGGAGCCGACGUGUAUCUGUUGUCACUAAUACGUUUGUCCCGGUCCGUGUUUGUUCUGCUGCUGAUUCUGCAUCACCAUGACAACAUCAACAUCAGCAUCAAUGACUGUCCAGGAUGAACAGCAGCCUCUUUAAAUCAGUGCAGACUGGUGCUGAUGAAUCAACCACCCACCUUUGAGUGUUUCUUCUUUAACGUGUUGAGCUCCUUCUGUUGCUUUUUGAUCAAUUUAAGACUAUUACUGCAGAUUCACUGUCAUCUGUGCCACGCCAUUACUCUGAACACCCCAACCAACCCAAGGCGGGGAGUAAGUGAGCUGCAUUGCGUUCCAUUUCUCCCCUCUUCCUACAGGCUACAGAAGUGUGUAAACCCUUGAGGCGCAGGAGUGAGUGUUAACUGGCCUUGUGUGUGAAGAUAAGUGAACAGAGGAAGGAGGAUGAUUAAUACCUAGAAGAAGGGGGAAGCCAUGUGACCUGACCUGUACACUGCAGGUUGCAGCGAUGACACCGUCCACUGGCGUCUCUGAGAAUGGGUCAAACAUCCGAUCUGAACGCCGCAUGAAGUCAGGCUUCUGCAGCGUUUGUAUAGGUGUGUACGAGGUCAGAGGUCUUAUGUUGCGUGCCGCGGUACCUGGGGUCUGGAAGUUGAGCGAGACCAUCUGGCAGCCUGCGUUCCAGAAGAUCUGAGGCAUGUAAUUACUGGAGUCCACCCGGCCUCCUUUGGGGUAGAUUCGGCUCAUCUGACGCUUAUUGUAGCUGCGCUGAUGCUCAGGAAAAUUAAAAAAAUAAAAAGAGGGAGCCCAUGUGUGUUCUAAUGCAUGUGUGUGGAUUCCGGUGCAUACAUCAAACA